UUGCUUUUGCCCCCCACCCCCCAGUGAAGCCCUUUUGACUUUCUGUGCACCUUUGCAUUUAACCCUUAAUCUACACAAAAAUAACACAAGUUGUCCCCAGUUUAAAUUGCUGCAACCUAUAUACACACAUCACGUGCAUGUAUGUAUGCAUACACAUCAACACCAUUUCCUCCCCCGCAGGGCUCCCGUUUCUCCAUUUUGAAAAUCCAAGUGGGUGUUCUGGGGGCCCCUCGUGAGAAAGUUGCGUGUCUCACAACGGUCCACUCAUUUCACGGCUAUGUCGAGCUUACGGACUUUCAUUUAGUGCAGACUGUCCCACCCCACCAUUUCCCCUUUUUCCCAUUUCCUCUGGGCUUGGGCACCAAACAAGCAUCUGCAUGGGCGCACUUAGCCGCUGCCGUUAAUAACCCAAACCGACGCUCCAGGCCAUCAUGAGGAAUGCCCUUCAGCGCUGUAGGGGAAGGAAACUGGUGGCCCCCCAAGCCUCGGUGGGCACUGUGCAUCACUCUGAAGAAAACCAGGAGCCUGGGGGCAGCUGCCCUGUGGCAUCAGAAGGCUGUGGACAAGCUUCAGGGCUACUUGUGUGACGAGGGGCUAGAACUCCAGGACAAGCCAGACGGGGACUCUCGGGGAGAUUUUGUCCGCUGGGCGUGAGAAUCGCACCUGCUUUUUCCUCACCGGGACUGGGUCCCCACUUUGAAAUUUCUUCCCUGUCUCCCAAUAUGGUGUGCUUGGAGAAGACUGUGUUUUCACAUGUCUCUUCAAAAGCAAGGCUGCCCCCUCCCAAACACCCCCCCCCCCCCCCACAAAUUUCUGACCUCUGCAGCACAGAGGGCCACAAGCCUGAAGUAAAAGCGUACUCUCCUGGCCUGUCUCCAGUAUUAAUUUUUUUUUAAGCUCCAUUGACUGGUUUUUGGGUGGCAUUCCCUCCCAGUUUGGCUGCACUUUAUCUCUUUUACAAUACACUCAGUUUCCUUGGAUUUAGGGAUGUUCCUUGCAUACCAAGCCCUCAGGAAGAAAAUAAUAAGAUGCACAAACAAUAAUAAAGCAUCUGUGUUGGUUUCUUUUGGCUGCUUGGGCUGGGUGGCUUGGGAGUGAGGUUUCUUGGUGGAGUUUUGGCACUGGGUUGCCUGUGUGGCCAGAGAGACCACUUUUGUGCUACGUCAGCGCAAAUGCUGGGGAUUCCGACCCAGCCUCAUUGGAAAUGCUUGUCCUUUCCUAAAUAAACAGAUGAUAUGCUGAUCACA